GGAGGAGUCUUUUCUUGAGAGAGACGCAGCAGGGCUAGCUUGCUGCCAUUAGGAAUUUUCUUUGCGGAGGCUUCCAGGAUGCAACUCGUCUCAGAAGGCGGUGGGUCCCCUGUGCUGUGGCCUCUCGUGGGGGGUGAUCAGGAGUCACACAUUUUCCUGCUGCCCAGGACACUGGAGAUCUGUCACUCCAAUGGUAGGACAGGAAACGUGAGACGGCUGAGUCCCUUAGACCCUGGUUUCAUAGUCUACUGGUUUGAAUGAAAGACGGAUUCCUAGAUACCCCAGAUCCUGGGAGAGAAGAUGUCCCUGCUUAGGAAUCUCUGGGGAGCACAACCACGGCUGAUUUGGGGACAGGAUUUCAUAGGGGAGGGGCUAGGAGCAGGGCCCACCCCUUCCCUGCAGUCCACGGCACCAGCAACCCACAGGGAAGCACGCCGUGUCCGCUAAGAUGCUUAAAGAUUCUAUCACUGUUUGCGUUAGAAAUAAGCAGCUAAGUUUCCCGGCAAUUGUCGCCAUCUGCACCCACGAGGGAGGAAAAACUCAUGUGAGCACAGUUUCUAAAAAAACAGUAGUAUUCUUAAGAGAAAAGAGGACAAAAAAGGCUUAACUUAUAAUUUGUGUCUACUAGAAGAAAAAGGAAGAAAAAAAAAACACAUACACCUGACCCCUCGCCACCCUUUCUCAGGAUGGGAGGUUCACGUCCGGAACCUCACACGCUGGGGCUUCGUAAGGCACCCCUGCAUCCCCGUUUCCUGGAAUCCACUGAAAGAAAAUGGCAAACCGGCCAAGAUAUUUGCCUGAGGUUUGCUAAGAAAACAUAUUCUCCGUUUGAGUUGCUUUCUGAGGGGAGGGUCGGAGAUGUGGUUUAAGUAAGAAAAUCGCUCGUGGACAGUUAUGGAAAUAAUGACUCUCUUCACUGCCCCGCAUGUCUGGCUACAGUUACAGGAAGCAAAGUGGAACAGUGUUUUCAAAUUACCUGGGGGGCGCGGGCAGGGAGAGCAAGCCAGUGAGCAGGCCAGAGCCGAGGAAACAUCAUUCUGUGUCAGUUAUCAGGAUAAUUCCACAGCCGAAGCAUGCUGUGGUUAGUUACUCUUAAGUGGGAGGUGGGAAGGUUCUGGAGACUGGCCAGACUUCGAGAUGAAAUAAGAGAAUCUAUUUCGUCUGAUUUGUUGCCCACACUCCCUAGAGAAGAACGUAGCUCGGGUCUCUGACGUCUACCCACCAUGAACCCCCAAGGACUUAUCGUCAUGCUCUUUUAAUAAGGCACUUCCUAGCUGCAGGAUGCCGCGUGCUGGGCGAGGCUUUGGGCCUGGCAAGGUGAAUCAGAUCCCCUGAAUACAAAGAGCUUUCCAGCCACAGAGCAGUGUCCACGGGAAGUCAGAGGAGGGGGCCUCUUGCGGAAAUCCCCAGAGAGGGGGAAUACUGAUGUUGGUCCCGGAAGGAUGAGGAAGACCUUGGCAGGGAAGGUGUUCAGGGCAGGAAAGCUCUCGGUAGAUGAUUUUCCAAGGAUGAGCAAGUCAGGAAAACGGCGCGGCUGAAAGCAGACUUGCCUGGAAGGGGCAGAAUGGAGCGGCAGCAUCACACGGCAGCAGCAUCUGGAAGCUUGCCGGAAAUGCAGAAUCGCGGGCUCACCCCAGACGCUAGCGAGGACCGGAAGUGAUUUACCUAUCAGCUUUGAUGACGUAAACUAGGACCAGAGCCUGGGGAAUGUAAGAAGCUUGACACCGAAGGCCUCCUCCGUUCGCCUCCCACGUCCAAAAAAAGGCGGCCUCGUCCGUUCCUGUAAGAGCUGGGAGCUCAGCCGAUCACGCGCGGUUGGCGGUCACACCGCGGUCUGGAGCCGGAACGCCAUGCAACUAACAGAAACCCUCCCGUGCUCGGCUCGGCUUCCACGUUUCAGGGGAAAACAAGUACUGGGAACACAAAUUCGCACCUGGGAUUUAUCCUUCCCUCUUUCUGUAACACUCAGAGCGCCGCCGGGGCUGGGGGCUGGGCACAGGCACCUUUGCCCUAUGCUCGGUGCUCCGAGGGGGGUGGCGGUCGGUGGCGGCGGAAAGGGACUUGGCGGGGACGGCAGGGUCUCCAGGCGCCGGGCCGCGUCAUCCUGGCUGCUGCCUACCUCUGGGCUUGAUUUCUUGGCCCACGCACUGCGGAUUAAAAACCUAGAGCCUCUUCAGUAGAGUCGUCGUUGCGAAGAUUAGGACUUUGGGGGACUGCUCACCCGGCAGCCGCUCGACAGGACCGGGCGCCUUUCUGAACUCGUGCACGCAGUUGUCUUUGCACAAGGCCAAGGGCACCCCGGGCUGGCCCCAAGGCCUGAGACCUUGGCUCUGCUAGGAGGGCUUUGAUGACGCCCCUCUCCGGGUCUAACACUGGCAGGCGCCGGGGGUGCUCCCCCCCCCCCCCGGGGGAUCCCAGCAAAGGUUUUCCUGCUCUCAAGCCACCCCGGGAACCAACCGCGAACCUCAGCAUUUCAGGGGGGCCUGGAGAGCCGCAGCCCUCAGCCUCUUCCCUUCUAGGAAACACAGCGCCACCUCUUGGACGAGAGCCGCACUGACUCGGCUGGGCUGUUGGCUGUGAUUCCCUCACCUGAACCCUCUUCGCUAUUUCCUUGUAAGGGCCUGGCGGACACGUUUAUCCCCCUCUCUUCCACCCCAACCGCUCCUGCCUAGUUUCUCUGGGUCUUUGACCGGUACCUUCGAGGGAGUUUUCGUCCUCGUUUCUAAUUUCAUAGCUCAGUUCAAACCUGCAAAGGCUGAUUCUCUAGGAGGAUUAUGUUCAGCCCCGUUAACACGAGGGGUUUCUCCUUCCUACACCUUAGCAGCGGCGGGCGGGGGGAGCAGAGCAGUCAACGUCCUGCCCUCUGCUGCCAGGCGGCCUGUGUCCCGAUCCCUCUCCAGCCGUGUGACCUUGGGCAAGUUACUUAACCUCUCUGUGCCUCCGUUUCCUCAUCCGGAAAACAAAGCCGCCGGCAGAAGCCAACGCCAACGCUUGUGGUGGCAUUAGGUGCGUCAGUGCCUGUGAAGCACUUAGAAGAGGCCCGCGGCGGACGGAGAACUGAGUGUUUGCCACCAAGGGGUUUCAGGGGCCGCGUUCCCUCCUACAACGCUUACUAGGCGGGAAUAUGGUUUCGUGUGACCUGUCGGGUCACCCACCAGGCCAGUGUUGGUGCAGAGGGCGCUAUGAAAGCAGUUAGGGCCACGCUCGGGAAGGCAUAUUGGUAACACACAGACACGGUGAUUUGCAGCCUCAGUUUUAGAAGCGCCGCACCCACUGGGAGCCCCCCGGGGCCGUGACUGCCUCCCCCUCCCCCCAUGUAGAGGGAGCACCUACCUGGCCCUCCAGACACAAGCGCUCGGCUUGUGUGUGCUUCCUUCUCCAGCUCCUUUAAGAAAUGUUUAGUAUAACAGGACAUUUCAGGGCAACUGGCACUCAGAACGCUCUCUUCCUUUUGCUCCAGUAAGAACGCACAUGCGUACGUUUUCCCCAUGAGGGCCGAGCCGUUUUCGUGCACUGUAUCAGAGAAGGAGAUGAAAUAAUAAACGGGUCUUUCCCAACCCAA